rnacentral:rRNA from 1 species
GACGAACGCUGGCGGCGUGCUUAACACAUGCAAGUCGAACGGAAAGGCCCUGCUUUUGUGGGGUGCUCGAGUGGCGAACGGGUGAGUAACACGUGAGUAACCUGCCCUUGACUUUGGGAUAACUUCAGGAAACUGGGGCUAAUACCGGAUAGGAGCUCCUGCUGCAUGGCGGGGGUUGGAAAGUUUCGGCGGUUGGGGAUGGACUCGCGGCUUAUCAGCUUGUUGGUGGGGUAGUGGCUUACCAAGGCUUUGACGGGUAGCCGGCCUGAGAGGGUGACCGGCCACAUUGGGACUGAGAUACGGCACAGACUCCUACGGGAGGCAGCAGUGGGGAAUAUUGCACAAUGGGCGGAAGCCUGAUGCAGCAACGCCGCGUGCGGGAUGACGGCCUUCGGGUUGUAAACCGCUUUCGCCUGUGACGAAGCGUGAGUGACGGUAAUGGGUAAAGAAGCACCGGCUAACUACGUG